rnacentral:piRNA from 1 species
CGCGAUGCCGUGCUUGAACUCUAGG